rnacentral:rRNA from 1 species
GACGAACGCUGGCGGCGUGCUUAACACAUGCAAGUCGAACGGAAAGGCCCUGCUUUUGUGGGGUGCUCGAGUGGCGAACGGGUGAGUAACACGUGAGUAACCUGCCCUUGACUUUGGGAUAACUUCAGGAAACUGGGGCUAAUACCGGAUAGGAGCUCCUGUUGCAUGGUGGGGGUUGGAAAGUUUCGGCGGUUGGGGAUGGACUCGCGGCUUAUCAGCUUGUUGGUGGGGUAGUGGCUUACCCAGGCGUAGGCGGGUAGCCGGCCUGAGAGGGUGAUCGGCCACACUGGGCCUGUGAGACGGCCCAGACUUCUACGGGAGGCAGCAGUAGGGAGUCUUCGGCAAUGGCCGGGAGUCUGACCGAGCAACGCCGCGUGAGUGCAGAAGGUUUUCGGAUCGUAAAGCUCUGUUGUCAGCGAAGAACGAGUGUGAGAGUGGAAAGUUCACACUGUGACGGUAUCUUAACAGAAAGGGACGGCUAACUACGUG